rnacentral:rRNA from 1 species
CCUACGGGCGGCUGCAGUGGGGAAUAUUGCACAAUGGGCGCAAGCCUGAUGCAGCCAUGCCGCGUGUGUGAAGAAGGCCUUCGGGUUGUAAAGCACUUUCAGCGGGGAGGAAGGCGGUGAGGUUAAUAACCUCAUCGAUUGACGUUACCCGCAGAAGAAGCACCGGCUAACUCCGUGCCAGCAGCCGCGGUAAUACGGAGGGUGCAAGCGUUAAUCGGAAUUACUGGGCGUAAAGCGCACGCAGGCGGUCUGUCAAGUCGGAUGUGAAAUCCCCGGGCUCAACCUGGGAACUGCAUUCGAAACUGGCAGGCUAGAGGCUUGUAGAGGGGGGUAGAAUUCCAGGUGUAGCGGUGAAAUGCGUAGAGAUCUGGAGGAAUACCGGUGGCGAAGGCGGCCCCCUGGACAAAGACUGACGCUCAGGUGCGAAAGCGUGGGGAGCAAACAGGAUUAGAUACCAUGGUAGUC